ACCUGGACGAUUUUUGUGGCGGGAAUUACGGUGCCUCGACAAGAUCCUAUACACAACAACGCUUUACCUCAGGAUCAGAAACCACCUGUCGGGAAAUAGCAUCAGAAAUUUCACUGGUAGAAACUUUACGUCAUUGCUACUAUAGACCAUAAAUCGACCAUAAAGAAUGUGAGACAGUGUUGCCAAAGCGAUGUAAAUCAUUGCAAUGCCAAGGUUGAGGUUCGACAUAAAAGGUAUCUUUCCAACAAAAUUGUAAGAAAUAUCUGUAUCAUUUUUAUCGCUUAUUUAUUUUUAUGGUUAUAUACGAAACAUACGUGAAACAAAUUAUUCAUAUGCAUAAGCUUAUUACAUUAUGGAAAUAAACAUCAUUAUUGACCUGAAAAUAUUGUUUAUAUAAAACUUUAAAUUGUAAUUACGUUGGAAGGAUAUUGUAGAUUGUAAAAAAUAGUGUUAUAUAAGAACAAUUAUACGUGAAUUUCAGUUGUAAUUCUUAUAACGAGUAGUUUUAUAAAUCUGGCAACAAUGCCGAAAGACGAUUACAGGGGUGGAGACCUCCCCUCUUGAAAGAAAGAAAGAAAGAAAGAAAGAAAGAAAGAAAGAAGGAAGGAAUAAGGGGAAGGAACAGCUUUUGAAAUCAUCAAAAUAGCUUGGCACCAACUUCGACAACGUGUACAAUUAGACGAAAAAUACGCAGCUUUUAUGCGAUUUAAAUUUAUGAAAUUUAUAUGUAAAAAUUCAUAAUUCAAAAUUAAUAUACCCCAUGUGAUCAUAUUUUUAAUUAAAACGAUUUUGUUUAAAGAAAAAUAUUUAAUGAUUCUGAGUGCAGAAAAAUAAAAUAAAAACUCACCUUUAAUUUAGAAGAUUCUCCAAUGAUAUACAUAUCCAAAAUGUUGUCACUAUUCCCAUAAUAUAUACCAAGUAUAUAUAAGGAUAAUAUGUAGACACAAGAUAAAUAAAAUUUUACUACAUUUAAUUUCUAUAACAGCA